CUUUGGCUCUCUGUAAACAACACGACGCUUGACCACAGUCAAAACAAACCUUUCUGACCGUUUUAAAGAUAUAAAAGUACAUUUCCUGCAGGUGACAGUCAGUGAGAGCAUUUAAAUGUCACUUAUCAGCACACAUUUAAGCCCUUUCAGGUAAAAACAUGCGACUAUCUCUGGAUGAUGUGCAGGAAUGCUGGACACUCCAUCACCUGUUUGUCCGAGCCAUCACCGCUGUGUUGAUUUACCGCCUCAGGAUGGUCCUUGCCUUUGCCGCUCAGUUGUCUUACCGCCCCAGAUGAGUGUGUGAUUCAUUGAACACAGCUGGCAGAUCCUUUAGGGUUCAUCAGUCUAACUGCUUCUGAGCUGGACCUGAGAGAGACAUCUAGUGCUCAAUGCUGAAAUUACAGCUCAUUCACAAACAAAUGAGUGGAAUAUUGUUGCAGGUAAGGUAAAAAACACAAUCAUCAUGACAAUUGUAAAUAAACUUUUUAAUAAAAAUACAGCUCCUCAUAUUUGACGUUUUUUAGUCUCUAAACACUUUUAAUCAGUGUCAUUGAGUAACCUAUGAAAGAUUAGUCUUCAUAAUCUCUCCGAGACACACAGUAGCGUAGCAGGACGCCUCCAGGUCAAAGUUUAGUGACAGACAGUGUGUGUUAGACUCGUCUGAUGAACUCGUCUGCAGGCUAUAUGUGAUGUUCUGUGGCUUAGCGAGCAGGGGUCGAUAACAUCCAGG
rnacentral:lncRNA from 1 species